rnacentral:rRNA from 1 species
GGAUUAGUGGCGAACGGGUGAGUAACACGUGAGCAACCUGCCCCUGACUCUGGGAUAAGCGCUGGAAACGGCGUCUAAUACUGGAUACGAACCAUGAAGGCAUCUUCAGUGGUUGGAAAGAUUUAUUGGUUGGGGAUGGGCUCGCGGCCUAUCAGCUUGUUGGUGAGGUAAUGGCUCACCAAGGCGUCGACGGGUAGCCGGCCUGAGAGGGUGACCGGCCACACUGGGACUGAGACACGGCCCAGACUCCUACGGGAGGCAGCAGUGGGGAAUAUUGCACAAUGGGCGCAAGCCUGAUGCAGCAACGCCGCGUGAGGGAUGACGGCCUUCGGGUUGUAAACCUCUUUUAGCAGGGAAGAAGCGAAAGUGACGGUACCUGCAGAAAAAGCACCGGCUAACUACGUGCCAGCAGCCGCGGUAAUACGUAGGGUGCAAGCGUUAUCCGGAAUUAUUGGGCGUAAAGAGCUCGUAGGCGGUUUGUCGCGUCUGCUGUGAAAUCUGGGGGCUCAACCCCCAGCCUGCAGUGGGUACGGGCAGACUAGAGUGCGGUAGGGGAGAUUGGAAUUCCUGGUGUAGCGGUGGAAUGCGCAGAUAUCAGGAGGAACACCGAUGGCGAAGGCAGAUCUCUGGGCCGUAACUGACGCUGAGGAGCGAAAGGGUGGGGAGCAAACAGGCUUAGAUACCCUGGUAGUCCACCCCGUAAACGUUGGGAACUAGUUGUGGGGUCCAUUCCACGGAUUCCGUGACGCAGCUAACGCAUUAAGUUCCCCGCCUGGGGAGUACGGCCGCAAGGCUAAAACUCAAAGGAAUUGACGGGGACCCGCACAAGCGGCGGAGCAUGCGGAUUAAUUCGAUGCAACGCGAAGAACCUUACCAAGGCUUGACAUAUACGAGAACGGGCCAGAAAUGGUCAACUCUUUGGACACUCGUAAACAGGUGGUGCAUGGUUGUCGUCAGCUCGUGUCGUGAGAUGUUGGGUUAAGUCCCGCAACGAGCGCAAC